rnacentral:tRNA from 1 species
CGCGGAGUGGAGCAGCUAGGUAGCUCGUCGGGCUCAUAACCCGAAGGUCGCAAGUUCGAAUCCUGCCUCCGCAACCA